GAUGAACGCUGGCGGCGUGCCUAAUACAUGCAAGUCGAGCGAACCGACGAGGAGCUUGCUCCUCUGACGUUAUCGGCGGACGGGUGAGUCACACGUGGAUAACCUAACUCUCAGACUGGGAUAACAUCGGGAAACCGGGGCUACUACCGGAUAAUAUAUUGACCCGCGUGGUUCCAUAGUGAAAGACGGUUUUGCUGUCACUUAUAGAUGGCUCCGCGCCUCAUGAGCUAGUUGGUAAAGUAACGGCUUAGCAAGGCGGCGAGUCUUAGCCGACCUGAGAGGGUGGACGGCUAGACUGGAUGUGAGACACGGUCCAGACACCGACGGGGAGCAGCGGUAGGGAAUCUUCCGCAAGGGAGGAGUGCCGGACGUUGCAACGCCGCGGGAGGGAUGAAGGAGUACUGAUGGGAAAACGAUGUAAGUAGUGAAGAAGAAAUGUUUAAGUAACCAUGAUCGUCUUGACGGUACCGAAACAGAAAGCCACGGCUAACUACGUG
rnacentral:rRNA from 1 species